rnacentral:rRNA from 1 species
AACACAUGCAAGUCGAACGGUAGCACAGAGAGCUUGCUCUCGGGUGACGAGUGGCGGACGGGUGAGUAAUGUCUGGGAAACUGCCUGAUGGAGGGGGAUAACUACUGGAAACGGUAGCUAAUACCGCAUAACGUCUUCGGACCAAAGUGGGGGACCUUCGGGCCUCACACCAUCGGAUGUGCCCAGAUGGGAUUAGCUAGUAGGUGGGGUAAUGGCUCGCCUAGGCGACGAUCCCUAGCUGGUCUGAGAGGAUGACCAGCCACACUGGAACUGAGACACGGUCCAGACUCCUACGGGAGGCAGCAGUGGGGAAUAUUGCACAAUGGGCGCAAGCCUGAUGCAGCCAUGCCGCGUGUAUGAAGAAGGCCUUCGGGUUGUAAAGUACUUUCAGCGGGGAGGAAGGCGAUAAGGUUAAUAACCUUGUCGAUUGACGUUACCCGCAGAAGAAGCACCGGCUAACUCCGUGCCAGCAGCCGCGGUAAUACGGAGGGUGCAAGCGUUAAUCGGAAUUACUGGGCGUAAAGCGCACGCAGGCGGUCUGUCAAGUCAGGUGUGAAAUCCCCGGGCUUAACCUGGGAACUGCAUUUGAAACUGGCAGGCUAGAGUCUUGUAGAGGGGGGUAGAAUUCCAGGUGUAGCGGUGAAAUGCGUAGAGAUCUGGAGGAAUACCGGUGGCGAAGGCGGCCCCCUGGACAAAGACUGACGCUCAGUGCGAAAGCGUGGGGAGCAACAGGAUUAGAUACCCUGGUAGUCCACGCCGUAAACGAUGUCGACUUGGAGGUGUGCCCUUGAGCGUGGCUUCCGGAGCUAACGCGUUAAGUCGACCGCCUGGGGAGUACGGC